rnacentral:tRNA from 1 species
GCCACUUUAGCUUAGUGGUAGAGCGUCUGCUUUGGAAGCAGGAAAUCGUUAGUUCAAUCCUGACAAGUGACU